GCCUCCUCUGUCCAUGGGAUUUCCCAGGCAAGAAUAGUGGAGUAGGUUGCCAUUUCCUUCUCCAGGGGAUCUUCCUGACCCAGGGAUUGAAGCCGUGUCUCCUGUUUGGCAAGGAGAUUCUUUACCACUGAGCCACUUGGGAAGCCCAGGAACAAAGUGGGAACAAUCAGGAUGGACUCCUGAAAUUGUUUUUACAGUUUUAUGACUUGUUUGCAACUCUUCAUUCUACUCUAAAAGAAAAAUAGGGAUAUUCAGAUUCACCUAAGCUGAACUCCUGUAAAGCUUUCCAUGCAAAUGAUUGAAUGAUGUUUAGCAGUAACAUGCAUAAGAAAGGUAAUAUGGCAAGAUAUUUGCAUUGAUCACCAUUGGAAAUAAGAGAAUGUAAAAGAGUUGGAUUCCUUGGGCCACUGAUAAUUCCCACAGCAUACAGAACAAGGCUGAUCCAACAAAAUAAGGGUAGACAGUAUUAAGUCGGUAUGAAACCUAGAUAGGCACAGACCUAACAGAACCAGAAGAUAUUAAGAAGAGGUAGCAAGAAUACACAGAAGAACUAUACAAAAAAGAUGUUACUGACCUGAAUAUCCACGAUGGUGUGAUCACUAACCUAGAGCCAGACAUCCUGGAGUGUGAAGUCAAGUGGGCUUUGGGAAGAAUUACUGAAAACAAAGCUAGUGGAGGUGAUGGAAUUCCAGCUGAGCUAUUUUAAAUCCUAAAAGAUGACACUGUUAAAGUGCUGCACUCAAUAUACCAGCAAAUUUGGAAAACUCAGCAGUGGCCACAGGACUGGAAAAAGUCAGUUUUCAUUCCAACCCCAAAGAAAGGGCAACGCGAAAGAAUGCUCAAACCACUGUACAACUGCACGCAGUUCACAUGCUAGCAAGGUCAUGCUCAAAAUCCUUCAAGCAAAGCCUCAGCAGUAUGUGAACCAAGAACUUCCAGAUGUUCAAGCUGGAUUUAGAAAAGACAGAGGAACCAGAGAUCAAAUUGCCAACAUCCAUCGGGUCACAGAAAAAGCAAGAGAAUUCCAGAAAAAUAUCUACUUCUGCUUCAUUGACUACACUAAAGCCUUUGACUGUGUGAAUCAAAACAGACUGUGGAAAAUUCCAAAGAGAUGGGAAUACCAGACCAGCUUACCUGCCUCCUGAGAAAUCUGUAUGCCAGUCAAGAAGCAAUAGUUGGAACCAGACAUGAAGCAACAAACUGGUUCAAAAUUGGGAAAGGGAUACAUCAAGGCUGUAUAUUGUCAUCCUGCUUGUUUAACUUAUAUGCAGAGUACAUCAUGUGAAAUGCUGGGCUGAAUGAAGCAAAAGCUGGAAUCAAGAUUUCUGAGAGAAAUAUCAAUAACCUCAGAUGUGCAAAUGACACCACCCUUAUGGCAAAAAAAUGAAGGACUAAAGAUCC
ensembl:lncRNA